UACAGAGGGUGCAAGCGUUGUUCGGAAUUAUUGGGCGUAAAGCGCGUGUAGGCGGCUUUGUAUGUCGGGUGUGAAAGCCCUGGGCUCAACCCAGGAAGUGCACUCGAUACUGUAUGGCUUGAGUACUGGAGAGGUUGGUGGAAUUCUCGGUGUAGAGGUGAAAUUCGUAGAUAUCGAGAGGAACACCGGUGGCGAAGGCGGCCAACUGGACAGAUACUGACGCUGAGACACGAAAGCGUGGGGAGCAAACAGG
rnacentral:rRNA from 1 species